rnacentral:lncRNA from 1 species
GUCUGCAACAAAUAUCAUACCAGAUUCCACACUUCAAAUAUUGCUAAGCAAGGACAGUCUAUAACAGCAAUAGUUCAGACAAAACAACAACAAUUUAAGAUGAAAUACUCCCUUUAGUUAAACACUUCACAACAGAUAUGUUGCUGCUACUGUUUGCACCAGCUAUACUCUACACAAACUGAAUCCCGAUCAAAGCAACUCUGUAGAGAUCAACCAAAAAGAAGGUUGCACAGCUCUAGAUAGUUAGCACAGUUCAAUUUCACAACUUAUUUCAGCACUUAAACAAGAACACACUCUCAACAAGAAAUUUGGCUCUUAGAUGCAGCCACACAAAGCUCACUAACUCAAAACUAUUUCUGAAGGUUUCUCUUUAAAAACAUGAAACACACAAAUGAAGGUUUGGAAGGGA